GAUGAACGCUGGCGGCGUGCUUAACACAUGCAAGUCGAACGAAGCACUCUAAUUGAUUUCUUCGGAAUGAAGUUUUUGUGACUGAGUGGCGACGGGUGAGUAACGCGUGGGUAACCUGCCUUAUACAGGGGGAUAACAGUUGGAAACGACUGCUAAUACCGCAUAAGCGCACGGUAUCGCAUGAUACAGUGUGAAAAACUCCGGUGGUAUAAGAUGGACCCGCGUCUGAUUAGCUUGUUGGUGAGGUAACGGCCCACCAAGGCGACGAUCAGUAGCCGGCCUGAGAGGUUGAACGGCCACAUUGGGACUGAGACACGGCCCAGACUCCUACGGGAGGCAGCAGUGGGGAAUAUUGCACAAUGGGGGAAACCCUGAUGCAGCGACGCCGCGUGGAGGAAGAAGGUCUUCGGAUUGUAAACUCCUGUUGUUGGGGGAAGAUAAUGACGGUACCCAACAAGGAAGUGACGGCUAACUACGUG
rnacentral:rRNA from 1 species